CCAACACAACACCUUCUUCAUUUUUUCCGUUUUUUUCUCAGCCACAUUUUCUUCACUUUUUGUCUUCUUUAUUUCUCCCUUAUCUCUAUUUUCCUCCACACACUUCUUCACUUUGUCUUCUUUCAAGUUUCAACACCGCUCGGUCAAAAAAGUUUCAACACCUCUAAACUAUUACUUCAUCAAAGGGGAGAGAGUGAGAAAGAUCAAAAUGAAAAAUAGAGAGAUCUUAGCAAACCCAGAGAAAAUGAAGAACAACAAAGAGAAAGAGAGGUGGUCGCCGGUCAUUAACUGAAGAUUGGAUCAGAGCAGAGCAAACGAAAGGGAGAUACUGCAUAAGGGAAGAUUUCUCUAUAUUCCGAUGUUUUUUUGUUUUGCAUUUUGAGAAAUCCUGAUUUGCAAGGGAUUGAUAUAUAUAUAUAUAUACAUAUAUAUAUAUAUAUAUUUUUUUCCUUAGUUGAUUUGGGAAUUUGUUAUAGAUUUUUUUGUGUUUGGAUUUGGAAAUUUGUUAUUGAAUUGAACCUGGGCCAAAUGCUAUUUUUUUGUAGUCUUUGUAGAAGACGAGAUGCCACAGCAUAGCAGCAUAGAGGAGUAGAAAAAACCAUGGGCAAUUUAGGAAAAAUAGAAACCCACCAACGGUAAUAUUUUUGUUUUGAGAAAAUGCAUUUGUGUGUUUUGCAACUACAGCUCAAAGCUGCCAUGCCAAAAUGCACAAGGCCUUCACAUUUCAAAAUCCAGCUUUUUAGAAAAAGUUGUGUUUAAAACUGUACCAAACGCAAAUAUUAUUUUUUGGGUUUCAAAAAGCGCUUUUUGCCAGAGGAAAGUUCAAAGAAACGAUCACUAGCUCAAUCAAUCUACACGAUGUUUGGUAAAAAUAUCAUUAGAUUUUCACUACACCAAGAUUGCUAGCAUUGUUAAGACAACUCAUAGAUUAUGGCCGAUUCGACCAGUGAUUUAACCUUAUUAGAUCGGUAUUCAGUAGACAACCUACAAACCCAAUGUGAUCAUGUUGACACUAAAUUAGAACCCGGCCAACCAAUGAUCGCCCCUACAUAAAAUGAAAAUAUAUUUACAAAUAUAUUAUAAAGAAAAUGUAACAUUUUUCUUUUUAAAUUUUAAGGUCAAAUAGUUUAGGAAUGAAAAAAAGAAUUUUAUCAAUUUAAUGAUGAAAAACAAACUUUAUGUAAAAAAAAAAAAAAAAAAAAAAAAUCAAUGAAAAAAUUAUUUCCUAAACACGAUUUCUGAUGAUGCAAAAAAAAUCAGCAAUUGAGCUCCUUGUCGUAGUAGAUGGACGAAGCUUGGGGUCGUCUCUAUUGGAGGAAAACUUGCAAAAAUGAACUGGGUGAAAGAGUAACACGUCAGUGUGAUGUUAGCCAAACCGCCUCCGAUGCUUAAGUUAGUAAGGAAGAAAGAUUUUAGAGAGAAUUGACUGGAGAGUGAUUUUCAUAGAGUAUUUUAUGUGUACCUUUAACUUAUGUUGCCUUCUCUUUUUAUAAUUGCAUGCCUCAUUAAUUGACAAUGAAUUGCUGUAUUUAUGCUCAACAGUUAGUACGUUACAAAAUCUUUGUCUAAAGUUCAUAGCUCACUCUGUCACCGUUGCUCCCUCCGUUAUACUUUGUCAUCAAUAAGUGUAAUAAAUGCAUAACUUCUUCUCUAGGUUAAUGACGAUCUCAAAUUAAUGACGAUCAUAAAUUUCUAACUCAUCAGUUGCCCCCUUAUUUGAAUUUUGUCGGUUAAAUGAGAUGAAAACAUAUCUAUCUGACGCUUCGUAUUCCGUGUAUGGCGCAUUUAUGACGAGUUGAUAUUUGAGCUGUUGAGUGCCAUGCGUACGGUUAAGAUGCAUCUGACACGCAAACUUUCCUCGGUUUUCCCACGCACAUUUUGGCCAUUUUUCCCUCCUUUUUCCAUUUCUUCAAUUUCUUUCCUUAUUCAAUUGGCGUUCUAGGCUUUUUCUCUUCUUCAAGCUUUCUUUUUCAUUUUUGCAUUCCCUAGUAAGUUCUUCGUGCUUCUCUUUCUUUUCCUACUCUUCCAUGGUAGAUUACUCUAUUGUUAGGGUCGAUUGUCCCUCAAUAUCUUUUCUUCUUACUCGCUUAGGUCGUUUGCUUGAAAUUGUGGAGGGAGAGUGUCUCAAGGGGGUUAGUCUUUUCGUGGGGGAGGAUUGUCGGUAUAGGUUUGUCCUUUCCUCUUUAUUUCCUUUGGUUUCUUGUUCUACUAGAGUUGCUAGGUCUUUGAAAAUGUCUGGGGAGGUCAGGUCUAGUGAGCUGUAAACAGGGUUAUCUUCGCCUGAUAAUCGCGAGAUUCCCAAAGUUUCUUCCCCUUCUACUCCCUAUAAAGCUUGGAACAUCCAAUGUGCCCUCUUAGAGAAAGAUGAGAAGCGAAUCAGGGAUAGGUUUCAAUUUCCUUAUUCGGUUAGAAUUAGGAUUCCGAGUGAUAAAGAUAGGGCCUAUCAUUCAUAUGUCGAUGAAGUCUGUUUCUACGAAACGGAUUUCGCUAGUGGCCUUCGUCUUCUUGUCCAUCCCUUUGUUAGGGAACUUUUCGUGUAUUUGCACAUUGCCUCAGCACAAUUAGUGCCUAAUUCUUGGUUGAUCGUCAUUUGUUAUAUGGUGGUGUGGUUGUCUUCCAAUGACGGGGACGUCAUCAAAAAAGAAGAAUUUCUCCAUUUUUAUCUUUUGAGAAAGUCCAAAGACCCUUACUACUAGGAAUUUAAGCCAUGGGAUAAGGCUUCUAGGUUAAUACUUGACUGUCCAUCGCCCUCCGCAAUUGGAAACCAAACUUCUUCUUUAUUUUGGGCAGCGGUUGGGAGUUCAUCCCUGGUGAAGGCCUGGAUGAAGCCUCCAAGUUUUUUCGUAAUUAGGGAACUCCUGUGUCUGGUGCGUCCUUCUUGUCUUUUCUUCCUGUUCUUUAUCUAUUCUUUGUGAGUGACAAUGAUAUAUGAUAUACUUGCUUUUUGUAGUUCCUUAACGCUCUUGUCUAAAUAAGAGAUAUCAUAAUUGUGUUGAGAAGGUCAAAGAAUAUCUCAGGACUGUUAGAGAUUUCGACGACCUUAUCUCUCCUCAAUCACUGUUCCUCCAUUUUUUUGGCCCAAAGCCCUCAAGCAAGGUUCGAAAGAAUUUAGAGGUUGUGAAGAAAAGGAUGACGACUAGGUUUAGCAAACAGAAACUAGCCGAGGCCCAAGAGAAGAAAGCCCGGAGCAGCAUUGUUGGUGGCCUUCUGUCUAGGAAGCAUCAGAAAGUGGGCGACGCUCCCUUCGAAGUGCCCGUGGUGACUCCUCCUUUUGCUCACUCUCCUUCCAAGCGUCCUCCCUCUCUCACAUUGUCUCUGGAGGUGAUGGUCUCUUCAGAGGGGGGUGCUAGAGGAAAAUCCGUUUGCAAGCCUUUUCCCUUAACCUUUUGGAAUGAUGCUAACACCACUGCGUUGAAGGCGCAUGAGGCGCUUUUAAUGGAUGAUCUAAAUCCUUUAAUGUCGAAGUCGUCUGGUGAUGUGAUGUCAUCUCACAUUUAGAAAUUGGUGCAAAUGUGUUCUAACGACGUAGGUUGCUUUUUCUUUUUUGUUUUGCUUUUGCUAAGAGAGAUUUUUUCAUAUGUAGGCUUUGGGGAGUCCUUGUUCGUCUCUGGGAAGCUUCUAGAUUUGGAGAAAAAGAUGGCCACAACUGAACCUAUGAUCAAAUCUCUCUCUGCUGAGAAUGAGACGCUCAAGAACAAGGUUGUCAUCCUUACUGUUGAAACUAAGAAUGACAAAGAACGUGUGGCAGCUUUGGAGAAGAGUCUUCAAGUGGAGAAGGAUUUUUCUAAGCUGAAGGACAAGCAGAUAGGUAGUCUUCAGUUUAAAUUGAAAAAAGCUGGUCCUGAUGCUGUACAGGAGUUCAAGGAAUCUAACUUGUACUUAGACAACCUCUGUGAGUACAAUGUGGAGGGUUUUGAACUCUUCAGAAGAUGGAUGGCUAAGCACCACCCAGAACUAGAUCUCUCUGGUCUGGUAAUGGGUGAAGUGGAGGAGUUUGUAGCAAAUUGUCCUUCCAAGGUCACGGAGGAGAAUGUAGUAGAAGAACCUACGAUCGUUGCUCCUGUAGAUAUGUCCCUCUCUGAUCUAGCUAGAUAGUAAUUUUCUUUAUUUUCUUUCAUUUUCUCCCUUUUUUGUAAGGCAAAAACAAUGUCUUUAUGGACCUCAUUGUUUUGAGCAUAUAUUUAUUGGGCAAUUUAUUGUUUUGGGCCCGUGUGUUUUGGGCAUGCAA